UGGGGAAUUUUUCGCAAUGGGGGCAACCCUGACGAAGCAAUGCCGCGUGGAUGAUGAAGUAUUUCGGUACGUAAAAUCCUUUCGACAGGGACGAAACCGCAAGGUUGACGGUACCUGUAGAAGAAGCCCCGGCUAACUCCGUGCCAGCAGCCGCGGUAAUACGGGGGGGGCAAGCGUUGUUCGGAAUUACUGGGCGUAAAGGGUGCGUAGGCGGCUUUCUAAGUUGGAUGUGAAAACUCUGGGCUCAACCCAGAGCCUGCAUCCAAAACUGGAGAGCUUGGGUUCUGGAGGGGAAAGCGGAAUUCCUGGUGUAGCGGUGAAAUGCGUAGAUAUCAGGAGGAACACCGGUGGCGAAGGCGGCUUUCUGGACAGAUACCGACGCUGAGGCACGAAAGCUAGGGGAGCAAACAGGAUUAGAUACCCCCGUAGUCC
rnacentral:rRNA from 1 species